rnacentral:rRNA from 1 species
AUUGAACGCUGGCGGCAGGCCUAACACAUGCAAGUCGAGCGGUAACAGGACUAGCUUGCUAGUUGCUGACGAGCGGCGGACGGGUGCGUAACACGUAGGAAUCUGCCCGGUAGUGGGGAGUAGCCCGGACGAAAUACCGGAUUAAUACCGCAUACGCCUUAUGAGGGAAAGGACAGGGGAGUUCUUCGGAACCUUGCGCUAUCGGAUGAGCCUGCGUCGGAUUAGCUGGUUGGUGGGGUAAAGGACCUACCAAGGCAACGAUCCGUAGCUGGUCUGAGAGGAUGAUCAGCCACACUGGGACUGAGACACGGCCCAGACUCCUACGGGAGGCAGCAGUGGGGAAUAUUGCACAAUGGGCGCAAGCCUGAUGCAGCCAUGCCGCGUGUGUGAAGAAGGCCCUAGGGUUGUAAAGCACUUUCAGCGAGGAGGAAAGGGUGUCCGUUAAUACGGGCAUCUGUGACGUUACUCGCAGAAGAAGCACCGGCUAACUCCGU